ACAAAAAGAUAUAUACAAUAUUUGAAGAGGCAUUUCCAAAGCUUUCCUGUAAAAUAUCUUCCCAUGUAGUAACUCCCUAAACAUUAUAUUUCAUGUGCUGACUGUUUUUCUAGUGAGCCACAUUAAAUAUGUACUUGUAAUGGAGCACUAUAUGUGAACAUUAGUAACCUUAAAGUCAGAUAUGAUUACAUUUUUUUUCUCCUCCUCUUGAAAGGUGCAUUGAAGUCAGCUUUACUAUGAGUAAGCAUUUGUGUAAAUCAUUUUAUCUUAAUGGCGGGAUAUUUUUGGGAAGCUUUGCAUUUGGAAGUUAAUUGCAUCAGUUUUUGCCUUUUCAUCUACACCAGAAUUGUUGUUUGGACUCUACCUGCUAUGCUAUUUCAGGGUCUUUGAGAGGCAGAUAGGUUCCAAUAAGUACUCAGUCUUUAUCUUGUUCUCUGUAAUAGCUUCAUUACUCUUUGAGGUCCUUGCUCUAGCAAUUCUUAAAGGUAGGAAGACACUGAGCCACUUGCGAUUCUUCUUCAUCUUCCACUGCUUGCUGAAGAUAAGAAAUACGAUGCAUUACAACAAGAAAACUAACCAGAACCAGCUAUAACAGGGCAUACCCUAUUAACAUACAAGCC